rnacentral:rRNA from 1 species
AUUGAACGCUGGCGGCAUGCCUUACACAUGCAAGUCGAACGGCAGCAUGGAGAGCUUGCUCUCUGUUGGCGAGUGGCGAACGGGUGAGUAAAGCAUCGGAACGUACCGUGUAGUGGGGGAUAACGUAGCGAAAGUUACGCUAAUACCGCAUACGCACUGAGGUGGAAAGCAGGGGAUCGCAAGCCCUUGCGCUAUACGAGCGGCCGAUGUCAGAUUAGCUAGUUGGUAGGGUAAAGGCCUACCAAGGCGACGAUCUGUAGCGGGUCUGAGAGGAUGAUCCGCCACACUGGGACUGAGACACGGCCCAGACUCCUACGGGAGGCAGCAGUGGGGAAUUUUGGACAAUGGGGGCAACCCUGAUCCAGCCAUGCCGCGUGAGUGAAGAAGGCCUUCGGGUUGUAAAGCUCUUUCGGCCGGGAAGAAAUCGCACAGGCUAAUACUCUGUGUGGAUGACGGUACCGGCAUAAGAAGCACCGGCUAACUACGUGCCAGCCGCCGCAGUAA